AGUGGGAUAGCUGGGUCAAAUGGUGGUUCCAUUCCAAGUUUUCUGAGGAAUCUCCAUAUUGCUUUCCAGAGUGGUGGCACCAAUCUUCAGUCCUACCAGCAAU
rnacentral:pre_miRNA from 1 species